CCUACGGGGGGCGAGCAGUGGGGAAGUCUUGCGCAAUGGGCGAAAGCCUGACGCAGCCAUGCCGCGUGAAUGAUGAAGGUCUUAGGAUUGUAAAAUUACUUUCACCGGGGACGAUAAUGACGGUACCCGGAGAAGAAGCCCCGGCUAACUUCGUGCCAGCAGCCGCGGUAAUACGAAGGGGGCUAGCGUUGCUCGGAAUUACUGGGCGUAAAGGGAGCGUAGGCGGAUAGUUUAGUCAGAGGUGAAAGCCCAGGGCUCAACCUUGGAAUUGCCUUUGAUACUGGCUAUCUUGAGUGUGGGAGAGGUAUGUGGAACUCCGAGUGUAGAGGUGAAAUUCGUAGAUAUUCGGAAGAACACCAGUGGCGAAGGCGACAUACUGGCCCAUUACUGACGCUGAGGCUCGAAAGCGUGGGGAGCAAACAGGAUUAGAUACCCUGGUAGUCCACGCUGUAAACGAUGAGUGCUAGUUGUCGGCAUNNANNNAUGUCGUGACGCAGCACGACAUAGUACACUCCGCCGCGGGAGGUACGGUCGGCGAGAGUAAACUAACGAAGAAGUAGUACGCGUGAGACGCGCGACGACGACGACGAGGGAGGAGG
rnacentral:rRNA from 1 species